rnacentral:rRNA from 1 species
UACGGAGGGUGCAAGCGUUAUCCGGAAUUACUGGGUUUAAAGGGUGCGUAGGCGGUUAUAUAAGUCAGUGGUGAAAAGUCUGGGCUCAACCGAGGCCUUGCCAUUGAAACUGUAUAACUUGAAAUAAGUUGAGGUGGGCGGAAUGUGACAUGUAGCGGUGAAAUGCAUAGAUAUGUCAUAGAACACCAAUUGCGAAGGCAGCUCACUAGACUUCAUUUGACGCUGAGGCACGAAAGCGUGGGUAGCGAACAGG